rnacentral:rRNA from 1 species
AACGUAGGAGGCAAGCGUUAUCCGGAUUUACUGGGCGUAAAGCGCGUGCAGGCGGUUUGGAAAGUUGGAUGUGAAAGCUCCCGGCUUAACUGGGAGAGGUCGUUCAAAACUACCAGACUAGAGGGCGAUAGAGGGAGGUGGAAUUCCGGGUGUAGUGGUGAAAUGCGUAGAUAUCCGGAGGAACACCAGUGGCGAAAGCGGCCUUCUGGAUCGUACCUGACGCUCAGACGCGAAAGCUAGGGUAGCAAACGGGAUUAGAGACCCCGGUAGUCCUAGCCGUAAACGAUGUAGACUUGGCGUCGGCGGGUUUAAAUCCGUCGGUGCCGAAGCAAACGCGAUAAGUCUACCGCCUGGGGACUACGGCCGCAAGGUUAAA